UUCUUAGGCAAGUACAACACAUUAGCCGAAAUUCAAGGCCUUGAUAGAUCGGAGUUUUUGGAAAGGCUAGAUAUCAAAAUUGUGCUUCAAUUGGAAGGCUAGAUCUUCCAAAGUCUGGGAGGCUGAAGGAAUUAAAAGCUAUAGGUUGUGAAAACUUAGCGGAAAUUGAAGGCCUUGAUAGAUCGGAGUUUUUGGAAAGGCUAGAUAUCAAUGAUUGUGUUUCAAUUGGAAGGCUAGAUCUUCCAAAGUCCGGGAGGCUGAAGGAAUUAAAAGCUACAAGUUGUGAAAACUUAGCGGAAAUUGAAGGCCUUGAUAGGUCGGAGUAUUUGGAAAGUUUAGAUAUCAGCUGGUGCACUUCAAUUGGAAGGCUAGACCUUCCAAAAUUCGGGAUGCUGAAGAAAUUAGGGGCUCGGCAUUGCAAAAACUUAGCCGAAAUUCAAGGGCUCGAUAGGUUGGAGUAUUUGGAAAGUUUAGAAAUCUACUGGUGCACUUCAAUUGGAAGGCUAGACCUUCCAAAAUUCGGGAUGCUGAAGAAAUUAGUGGCUUGGGAUUGCAAAAACUUAGCCGAAAUUCAAGGGCUCGAUAGUUUGGAGUAUUUGGAAAGUCUAGAUAUCUCUAGGUGCACUUCGAUUGGAAGGCUAGACCUUCCAAAAUCCGGAAGUAUGAAGAGAGUACAUGUUGGUUGCUGCAAACUUAGCUGAAAUUCAUGGCCUCGAUAGGCUGGAGUCCUUGGAAAUACUAGAAAUCUCUAGGUGCACUUCAAUUGAAAGGCUACUCCUUCCAAAAUCCGGAAGUAUGAAGAGAGUAAAUGUUUGUUGGUGCAAGAAAUUAGCUGAAAUUCAUGGCCUCGAUAGGUUGGAGUCCUUGGAAAUACUAGAAAUCUCUUGCUGCACUUCAAUCGAAAGGCUAUUCCUUCCAAAGUCCGGGAGUCUGAAGAGAUUAGAAGCUAGAGACUGCAAAAACUUGGUUGAAAUUCAGGGCCUCGAUAGGUUGGAGUUUUUGGAAGAACUGAAUAUCAUUGGAUGCAAGUCGCUCAAAACAAUUCCGGAAUUAUCUGGAACGCAGAUUUAUCGAUAUUAUCAUAUUACAAAUGGCACAUAUUACGUAUCAUGUCCAUACUAUACGGAUGACUCGGAUGAGGAAUAGACCGGAAGGAUCCACAUUUUCUAUUGAAGGUAUAUAAAGCAGGAAUCCAAGGGAGAUGUUCAUGGAAGUUAAUAUGUGCUUUGACAAAAUGGUUAUGCUUGUUAUGCCAGUAGCGGAAAUAGAUGAAAAGGCUUUCAAAGCGCAUCAUUUGACAUUAGUUUUCAAGUUUUUGAUAGCAUGCCAAAGGUCAUUGUAUAGGUUGAAGAAAAUGCUCGAUGAAGGACCCUAUAUGGUGAUCCUUCUAAUGUGAGGUUUUAGUUUGCUCUACGCUCAUCAUGCAGUUCAUGACUGCAUAUUUCUAAGGGUAUACCUACUCCAAGGCUUCCAAAGAAUGCAUCUUGAUGUUUGUAGAGUUGGUAAAGCCAUCUGUCGUAUACCUAAACUAUUGAGCCGGGCAAGACAUUAACUAGAAUGUCUUUUGACAUAAUCAGGUGUACUGUGAAAUAAUUACUUAUAUUGUGCAUAAGCUUUUGUUAGUUCAUUUACUUGCUGAAAAGAAAAACACAGGAAUCAUUUCCAUAAGUUUCUUGAGGAAAAUUUUCAGUAUCCUAUAUUCCAUUUGAAAAUUGUCUUGCAUUAAUUCUAAUGCAUGAAUAGCACAUAAUGAUAAGGAAAAAGAAUCAUACUAUGUCCCACAAAGCAACCAUCUUGAGUUAAAUACACUAUACUAAUUUGAUCAAAGCUUCUAUGGUUGAUGAUGUUAGAAGCCCCAUUAGUUGGUACCAAAGAGUUCAAAAAGAAUAUCAAGUUUGACUAAGUGGGUUCCCAUAAACUUUGGAGCAUUAUUAGUAGUUUGUUGAUGUUAGUUGCUGGAUUGAUUUCAUCUUACUCACUGGUAGGAUUCAUUUAUUAUUCCAUUGCUUGAUGUAAAUGCUGAAAUAUCCAAGAGAGCUUUCACAAGGCACUUCUAAAACGAAUGAAAUCAUAGAAGGAUUAGGAACUCAAUGUUUCUUGAGCUUCUCCAAACACUGACAAUGCAUCCUUGGAAU